CUCACUAUAUGAGGACUUAAAUCUUUAGCAUGUACUUUUCAUUCAAUUAAUUAUUAAUAAACUAUAAGUGUUUACUAUCUGCCAGGCACAAAUGUGGGCAAUGAGGACACAGCCAUGACAAAGAGACAAAAAUCUCCACCCUCAUGGAACUUAGGGGGAACGGACCAUCAAUGAAUACAUAAAUAUAAGUCUGUGGAGCCUUAAGUGCUUUGGAGAAAAAUAAGUAGAGGAGAGAAAUAGGGAGUGUCAGGAUGGGGGCAAUUUUGAAGAGAGAUGCUGGAGAAAGCCUCCUUGGGCAGAGACCCCGACAAGUGAGGGAACACAAGUGAGGGGGAUACCUGGGGGAUAAUUCCAGAAAAAGCAGCAGGUGCAAAGGUCUGAGGAGGUGUGUCCUUGGUUAGUGUGGCCACAGUGGAGAAAGCAAGGGAAAGAGGGUGGGUGGGUGAGUGAGGCAGUCAGGGAAGCAGAUGCAUGCAGGUCACCGAAGGACUUUAGAUUUUGCUGAGAUGGGGAGUCACUGGAAAGACACAUCUGGAAAGAGAUGUGGGAUUUAAAAUUAUUUUCGAUGGAAUUCCCUGGUGGUCCAGUGGUUACGACUCCACUCUCACUGCCAAGGGCCUGGGUUCAAUCCUUUGUCAGGGAACUAAAGAUUCCACAAGCCGUGUGGCGCGGCUAAAAAAAAAAAAUUAUUUUCAAAUAACCUGACUCUAGAGACUAAAUGGAAAGGGGGGCCCAGGGAGAUGUAGGGGGUGGUUAGGCAGCUCCAGGAACCCUUUUUCUUCCCGCACCAGGGCAAGGGCAGGACGUGGUAGAUGAGUUGUCAGGCUCUGUGAAGGUAAGGGCACCAGGAAGUGCUGAUGGAUUGAAGGUGGGAUGUGAGGGGAGAAAGGGGUGUCAGGGGUGACUCCAGUAUUUCUAGCCUGAGUCACUGAAUGAACAAAGUUGCCACGAGCAGAGUACUAUGAGGAAAGCAGGUUGGAGGGAGGUGGUGGUGGUGGGGAGGGAGAAUUCCAGGAGCUGGGUUUCAGGCAUGUGAUGUUUCAGACUAUUUUUAUAACAUCCAAGGGGAGAUACUGUCAGGACAGACACAGUCCUUGCCUCUCUGGGAACCUAUAUCCUAGUGAGGGAGAAAUCCCAUCAACAACACAACUAAGAGACAACCUAACCUGUCAUAUAGUGCUAGGUGUCGUGACGGUAAUGUGAUGGGGAGUGGUGACUGUCAUAGUUGAUUGGGGGUGGCCUCAGUGGGCAGGUGACGGGAGAGCUGAGACCCAGGACAGGGACAGCAAAGCCAAGUUCCGGAGGAAGGAAUGAGCUUAGUGAGUUAGAGGAAUAGAAGGAAAGCAACUCCAGAAGGCUUACCCACAGCUGGGUCUUACUUUACAUGUGAUGGGAAGCUGUUGGGGGACUUUGAGGAUGUGGUCACCUGAUUUCCAUUUUUAAAAAAGGUAACUUUGGAGACUGGAUUAGCACGAGAGGGAGCAGGAAACCUGAUUGGCAGUCCAUUAACCACUGUCUAGCCAAACAGGACGCUGACUUGGAAGGCCAGUGGAGAUGGAGGAAAUCAGAGAGAUAUGGGAUCUGCUUUGGAGGUAGAGCCAGCAGGAGGAAAGAAGAAUCCAGGAUGCUGCUGAAGUCUUGGGGAGGUGCUCACGUGGAGUGUGAGGUCUCGCCUGACCCCAGGCUGGCAGGUGGCCUUUGUCUCUGCGAGUCAGAAGGGCAUCAAACCACGACCUGAGGUUUAACUGCACAGCCCUGCUCCUGGCGACGGAACAAGGCUGCUAUUACGAGGGAACAGAAUCAACAGGGAAGCGGCAAGCGGGAGGCAAGCUUUAUGCUCUGUGGUUUCGCCCCAGUAGGAGGACGUGAUGACACCUCCAGGACAAAAGUACAUGCCCAUUUCUAGCCACUGAAAAUUAAAUUAGUGAGUAUUAAUUACUUCACGGUCAUAAGGAAAAGGAUCCUGAGAUGCAUUGUUUCCCGUCUACUCUGAGAUGCUUCCCAGUAGGAGGGGCACAAUGAUAGGCCAGCCAUGGCAGACCUCAACCGAGUAAGUUAUGAAAAGGCAAGCUAGGAAACCACACAGGCACACAUUUCCCUUGGGCAACAUCAGAUGAGAAAGCGAUCGCUUUUCCAUUGCAGGCGAAACAGAGAAACAGGAAACCCAAAGGCAACGACUUGCUUGGAGGCCUCCAAGAUGAGAAAAUGGAAGAAGCAAGAAGAUAAGUGACUUACCCAAGCUUCCACAACUUCCCCCAAAUUUUAUAACCUUCAAGGCCUACCAACCUGGAACCAGCUCUGAUUAAGCAUCUAUUAUAGGAGCCAGGCAUAUCUAGAUGCUAGAAAUACAACAUUGAAUGGAAUAGACACUGGUGGUUUUAAAAUGUCUACAAGAAAAGAAUCUGAAAAAGAAUAUAUAUAUGUCUAACUGA